rnacentral:rRNA from 1 species
AUACGGAGGGUGCAAGCGUUGUUCGGAAUCACUGGGCGUAAAGGGCGCGCAGGCGGUUUGAUUAGUCAGAUGUGAAAGCCCACGGCUUAACCGUGGAAGUGCAUUUGAAACUGUCAGACUUGAGUAUCAGAGGGGAAAGUGGAAUUCCCGGUGUAGAGGUGAAAUUCGUAGAUAUCGGGAGGAAUACCGGUGGCGAAGGCGACUUUCUGGCUGAAUACUGACGCUGAGGCGCGAAAGCGUGGGGAGCAAACAGGAUUAGAUACCCCGGUAGUCC